GUUUAAAUGGCCGCGGUAUCUUGACCGUGCAAAGGUAGCAUAAUCGUUAGUUUUUUAAUUGAAAUCUUGUAUGAAUGGUUGGACAAAGAAAAUUCUGUCUCUGUAUUUGAAAAUUGAAUUUGACUUUUAAGUGAAAAGGCUAAAAUAAAUUAAAGGGACGAUAAGACCCUAUAAAACUUUAUAUAAAUUAUUAUUUAAUUAAAUUAUUUGAAAUAAAAAUUUAAUGAAAAAUUUGUAUUAUAUUGGGGCGAUAGAAAUAUAAUGAAUAUUAACUGUUAAGAAAAAAAACAAAGAUAAAUGAUUUAAAAUAAUAGAUCCUAAAUAUAGAUUAAAAGUUUAAGUUACUUUAGGGAUAACAGCGUUAUUUUUUUUGAGAGUUCUUAUCGAAAAAAAAGUUUGCGACCUCGAUGUUGAAUUAAAAUAUCUAUAUAAUUGCAGAAGUUAUAUUAGAGGGUCUGUUCGACCUUUAAAAUUUUA
rnacentral:rRNA from 1 species